GAUGAACGCUGGCGGCGUGCCUAAUACAUGCAAGUCGAGCGAAAAGACGCGGCGCUUGCUGCUCUGACGUUAGCGGCAGGCGGGUGAGAAACACGUGGAUAACCUACCUGUAAGUCUGGGAAAACUUCGGGAAACGGGAGCUAAUACGGGAUAAUAUAUUGAACCGCAGGGGUGAAUGGUAAAAGACGGUUUUGCGGGCACUAAUAGAUGGAUCCGCGCCGCAUUAGCUAGUUGGUAAGGUAAAGGCUUACCAAGGCAAGGAGGCGUAGACGACCGGAGAGGGUGAUCGGCCACACUGGAACUGAGCCACGGUCCAGACUCCUACGGGAGGCAGCAGUCUGGAAUCUUCCGCAACGGGGGAAAGCCUUACGCAGCAACGCCGCGUGAGUGAUGAAGGUCUUCGGAUCGUAAAACUCUGUUAUUAGGGAAGAACAAAUUUGUAAGUAACUAUGCCCGUCUUGACGGUACCUAAUCAGAAAGCCCCGGCUAACUACGUG
rnacentral:rRNA from 1 species